AGUGAACGCUGGCGGUGGGCCUAACACAUGCAAGUCGAACGGCAGCACAGUAAGAGCUUGCUCUUACGGGUGGCGAGUGGCGGACGGGUGAGGCAUACAUCGGCAUCUACUUUUUCGUGGGGGACAUCGUAGGGCAACUUACGCUAAUACCGCAUACUACCUACGGGUGGAAGCAAGGGAUCUUCGCGCCUUUCCCGAUUGACUUAGACCGUGCCGGAUUAGCUAGUUGGGUGGGUAACGGCUCACCAAGGCGACGCUGCGUAGCUGACCUGAGAGGGUGAUCAGCCACACUGGAACUGAGACACGGUCCAGACUCCUACGGGAGGCAGCAGUAGGGAAUCUUCCACAAUGGGCGAAAGCCUGACGGAGCAAUGCCGCGUGAGUGAUGAAGGUCUUCGGAUUGUAAAGCUCUGUUAUUAGGGAAGAAAAUCUGCGGAUGAAACUGUCCACAUCUUGACGGUACCUAAACAGAAAGCCACGGCUAACUACGUG
rnacentral:rRNA from 1 species